rnacentral:rRNA from 1 species
CCUACGGGAGGCAGCAGUAGGGAAUCUUCCGCAAUGGACGCAAGUCUGACGGAGCAACGCCGCGUGAGUGAAGAAGGAUUUCGGUUCGUAAAACUCUGUUGUUAGAGAAGAACAGCGCAUAGAGUAACUGUUAUGCGUGUGACGGUAUCUAACCAGAAAGCCACGGCUAACUACGUGCCAGCAGCCGCGGUAAUACGUAGGUGGCAAGCGUUGUCCGGAUUUAUUGGGCGUAAAGCGAGCGCAGGCGGUCAAUUAAGUCUGAUGUGAAAGCCCCCGGCUCAACCGGGGAGGGUCAUUGGAAACUGGUUGACUUGAGUGCAGAAGAGGAGAGUGGAAUUCCAUGUGUAGCGGUGAAAUGCGUAGAUAUAUGGAGGAACACCAGUGGCGAAGGCGACUCUCUGGUCUGUAACUGACGCUGAGGCUCGAAAGCGUGGGUAGCAAACAGGAUUAGAUACCCGGGUAGUC